GAGCCUCCUCCUCCUCCUCCUCCUCCUCCUCUCCUCCACCUCCUCCUCCUCCUCCUCCCUAGCUGCCCGGCUCCUCCGCCUCCUCCGCCUCCUCCUCCUCCUCCCGCUCCGGCUCGCUCGGGCUCCGGCGCCGGCGCCGGCUCCGGCUCCUCCCGGCCGCCCGCCCGGGGCCAAGGCGACGUGAGGUUGUAAAAAUCCAUGUGGGACGGCCCCGGGGCGAGCAUCGCAAAGAUUUUUGGUUGGUGUAAUUUUCUGGUAUAUACUUAAGAAAACAUAGUGAAAAUUUUGGCCAGCAGUGGAUCAGCCAACACUGGAAAUACUGAGUGAAUCUCCAACUGAAUAUAUAAUUUCUUCUCUUUGAUAGUACCUCAUAAAACAAGAAAGAUGUAUGGAAGUGCAAGAACCAUCACGAAUCUGGAAGGGAGCCCUUCCAGAUCUCCUCGUUUGCCAAGGUCUCCUCGUUUGGGUCACCGACGAACAAGUAGUGGGGGAGGGGGAGGAACAGGCAAGACUCUGUCCAUGGAAAACAUCCAGUCCCUUAAUGCAGCCUACGCUACAUCUGGACCCAUGUACCUGAGUGAUCAUGAGGGGGUGGCUUCAACAACUUACCCAAAAGGCACCAUGACUCUGGGCAGGGCGACAAAUCGAGCAGUAUAUGGAGGCCGAGUGACAGCCAUGGGGAGUAGUCCUAAUAUUGCAUCAGCUGGACUUUCCCAUACAGAUGUUCUUUCAUACACGGACCAACAUGGGGGUCUGACCAGUUCAUCCCAUCAUCACCACCACCAGGUGCCCUCCAUGUUGAGGCAGGUAAGAGAUAGCACGAUGCUAGACCUUCAAGCCCAGCUCAAGGAACUGCAGAGAGAGAACGACCUCCUUCGGAAAGAGUUAGACAUCAAGGAUAGCAAGUUGGGAUCUUCCAUGAACAGCAUCAAGACUUUCUGGAGUCCCGAGCUCAAGAAGGAGAGAGUCUUGAGGAAAGAAGAAGCAGCCCGAAUGUCUGUCCUCAAGGAGCAGAUGAGGGUUUCCCAUGAAGAAAAUCAGUUACUGGAUGCCAGAAGAACCAAGCACCUUCAGUUGACGAUCCAGGCCCUCCAGGAUGAGCUGCGAACCCAGAGAGACCUCAACCACCUCCUGCAGCAAGAGAGCGGGAACCGGGGAGCCGAGCACUUCACCAUUGAGCUCACCGAGGAGAACUUCCGGAGGCUCCAGGCUGAGCAUGACAGACAGGCCAAAGAGCUCUUCCUGCUGAGGAAGACUCUGGAGGAAAUGGAGCUGAGAAUAGAAACCCAGAAACAGACCCUCAAUGCCAGAGAUGAGUCGAUUAAAAAGCUUCUCGAGAUGUUACAAAGCAAAGGGUUGCCGUCCAAAAGCCUGGAGGAUGACAGCGAGCGUACACGGCGGAUGGCAGAAGCCGAGUCUCAGGUCAGCCACUUAGAAGUGAUUUUAGAUCAGAAGGAGAAGGAAAACAUACAUCUCAGAGAGGAAUUGCACCGAAGAAGCCAACUUCAGCCGGAGCCAGCCAAGACGAAGGCUCUCCAGACUGUCAUAGAAAUGAAGGAUACAAAAAUUGCUUCAUUGGAGCGAAACAUAAGGGAUCUCGAGGAUGAGAUCCAGAUGUUAAAAGCCAAUGGUGUGCUAAACACUGAGGACCGAGAAGAAGAGAUCAAACAAAUAGAGGUUUACAAAAGUCACUCCAAGUUCAUGAAAACCAAGAUUGAUCAGCUGAAGCAGGAACUUUCAAAGAAGGAGUCAGAACUUCUUGCCUUACAAACAAAGCUUGAAACUCUUAGCAAUCAGAAUUCAGAUUGCAAGCAACACAUUGAAGUGCUUAAAGAGUCACUUACUGCCAAAGAACAGAGGGCUGCCAUCCUUCAGACGGAGGUAGAUGCAUUGAGAUUACGACUGGAAGAGAAAGAAUCUUUUCUCAACAAAAAAACCAAGCAGCUACAGGACCUCACAGAAGAGAAGGGAACACUGGCUGGAGAGAUUCGAGAUAUGAAAGAUAUGUUAGAAGUGAAGGAGAGAAAAAUCAAUGUUCUUCAGAAAAAGAUUGAAAACUUGCAAGAACAGCUUAGGGACAAAGACAAGCAACUGACCAAUCUGAAGGACAGAGUGAAGAGUUUGCAGACAGAUUCCAGUAACACCGACACUGCACUGGCGACUCUGGAGGAGGCGCUGUCUGAGAAGGAGAGAAUAAUUGAGCGUUUGAAAGAACAGCGAGAGAGAGAUGACCGGGAAAGGCUAGAAGAGAUAGAAUCCUUCCGAAAAGAGAACAAAGACCUUAAAGAAAAGGUCAAUGCUUUACAAGCUGAACUGACUGAGAAAGAGUCUAGUUUAAUUGACCUCAAAGAACAUGCAUCUUCAUUAGCCUCUGCAGGGCUGAAAAGGGACUCCAAAUUAAAAUCUCUAGAAAUAGCCAUCGAACAAAAGAAAGAAGAAUGUAGCAAAUUGGAAGCACAGUUAAAAAAGCAAGCUGAGCAGUUGUUCAAUCAGAUGUACAAUCCAGCUCAUAAUAUUGAGGAUGACUCCAGGAUGAAUCCCGAGUUUGCAGACCGAAUAAAACAGCUCGAUAAAGAAGCAUCUUACUACCGUGAUGAGUGUGGCAAGGCCCAAGCAGAAGUCGACAGGUUGCUAGAGAUCCUCAAGGAGGUGGAGAAUGAAAAGAAUGACAAGGACAAGAAGAUUGCAGAACUUGAGAGGCAUAUGAAAGAUCAGAAUAAGAAGGUGGCCAACCUCAAGCACAACCAACAGUUAGAAAAGAAGAAGAAUGCACAGUUAUUGGAAGAAGUUCGCAGGCGAGAAGAUAGCAUGGCUGACAACUCACAGCACUUGCAGAUAGAGGAGCUGAUGAAUGCACUGGAGAAGACCAGACAGGAACUGGACGCCACUAAAGCACGCCUCGCCUCCACACAACAGUCUCUGGCUGAAAAAGAAGCACAUUUGGCCAACCUCCGGAUAGAAAGAAGGAAACAGCUGGAAGAGAUCUUGGAGAUGAAACAGGAAGCUCUACUUGCGGCAAUCAGUGAAAAAGAUGCAAACAUUGCCUUGUUGGAAUUGUCUGCCUCCAAAAAGAAAAAGACACAGGAUGAAGUCAUGGCCCUCAAGCGGGAAAAAGAUCGUCUAGUGCAUCAGUUAAAACAGCAGACCCAGAACAGAAUGAAGCUGAUGGCAGACAACUACGAUGAGGACCACCAUCACUACCACCACCACCACCAUCACCACCACCACCGAUCUCCUGGGAGGUCGCAGCAUUCCAAUCUUAGGCCCUCUCCUGACCAGGAUGACGAUGAGGGCAUAUGGGCAUAGCCUGGCCUGUAAACCAAAGUUCCAGUUUUGUUUUGAGGGAUGAUCCAGCUCUGUCGGAGGCACGGAGGCACAGUCAAAUCUCAUGCUGUACAUUGAUCACCUGUCCAACCUUUGCCUAGAGUGGGAGCCCCCAGUUCCUUCAAGAGAUCCAACUUUACCUGUCUGUAAAGAAGAAGAGGAGGAGGGAGACAGCAGGGAGGAUCCAGUGGCAGUUUAACAUCAGAGCAGGUCCAAUGUUUACUUUUACCCUUUUGGAGCUAUCAGAAGGGCUGAAUAAAGAGAAAAUGCAGCUCUGCAGCAAUAUUCUGAUAAUCUAUUGCAGUGCGGCUCACAUCACUGUCCAUCACCACAUGGAAUGGCUCAUCAGGACUGAAGAGGAGUUUUCACUUUCAUUACUGAGCAUGUUUCGUUUCGACUUGAUAUUUCCUUCAUCACCUCAUCUCGUUUCUCAUGGAUUCAGAUAUAUGGAAAGGAAGAAUGUGGAGGAGGAGAAAAAUGGCAGCUCCUCUAUUGUUGGUAUUUGCUUAUUCAAUAUGUGACCAUCUCUUCUGAAUGUCAUUAGUUGAUUACAUUUUAAUUAUUUCACUUAAACUUCAUUGGAUAACUUUAAACUCCAUGGAAUUUUAACUGUGGAUUUAGCUUUGGUUAGACAACUAGCUUUAUCUGCAGUUUUUUCUGCUGGUUCAGUCUAAAUGGUCAUUCCUAAUGCAUUAAAUUAUCAAAAAAGUAUAAAUUCUCUGUGAGUGAGUGGUGUUGGCAGUGUUUGUAUACCAAGAUGCAUGGAGUGUUUGACAAGGAAACCAAAACACCAAAAAUGGCGAGCCUUUACCCUCCUCUGUUUCUUUAAUCUGAUGUUCAAAGAAGCACGUCUUGAUGGUGUAACCAGUAGUUACCUCUGGGCCAGGUUGGAAAUGAAAUCAAUUUUUUAAACCACUAAUACUUGCCAAGAAAUCGCCUUAUGAGAACAUGGUGUGUGUCUCUGACAAUGCAUGGCACAUCUAAAUUGAUCACUCAUAAUUUUAUCUAACCUGUCUAUGUAUUGGAGAGUGGCAAAAGCCUGAGGCACCAGCAUAGUUAUAUUCUGUGUGUUUCAUACAUCCCACAGCAAGGAUGUGGCCAAGCCUCAGACUCUUCCCAUUCCCAUACGUGCAGGUCUCCAUGAAGAAGCUGGGACUCAUUUUCAUUUCAAGAUCCAAAUGCUGUACAAAUAGUGUAAGCUUAGGGCUUCUGUAAAUGAUGGUUCAUUUUUUUUAAAGUCUCUAACAUGGAUUCCAAAACAUUUUCUGCAUUAAACAUGAAAACAUUGAUGAAUGGGGAAUAAUCACGAAGCUGUGUAUCUGUAUAUAGCUCUACACAACAAAUUUGUGAGUAUAGAGUCAUUAUUUAAAGCACAUGCCAGGGAAAGAGACCAAAUUUUGAGGUCUUUUAUAUUCAGUGACAUGGUACUAAGGAGAAUUAAACUCCUACUAUUUCCUCUGAAGAUAAAACAAAUAAACUCAAGUUGUUAUAACUUCAUAAAACUCAUGAUCAAGUCUGCAAACAUGUGCAAUUCUAGUAUUGAUCCAUUUUCUUGUCAAAGGAAGAAACCCUUCCACGUGUAUGCAAUUAGGAGAUGAAAAUUUGCAUUUUAAAGGACAAGUGAAUUUAAGCAUGAGUGGCCUUAAUAAAUAUAGUUGUCUUUCUUUGCUGCUGUGGAAAGGAUUCUAAGCAUAUGUUCCCAAAGUCUUGCAUUGAAUUUAGUCAUUAUUAUUACUUUUUAAGAUGUUGGUGCAAUGAAAUCUGAACCUCUCUCAUGAGCCAUAGAGAUAUUAAAAAGACAGACAUCCUAUUUGUUGGGGAAGAUAAAACUGACUCUGAUUGGCAAUGUUUAUUAUUGGUACAUUCAGAAUAAUGUAUUAAAGCAUAAUUCUUGCUUUUGGCUUUGUCCUUGUUGUCAGUAAGUAUAGCAGACUAUGUAAAGUUUACUUGUUGCAUAAACAAUCCAAAUACAUUCUUAUUUUUAAAAGUUGUCUUUUAACUAUCAAUGUAAUAAAGGUCUUGAUUGGAAGACAUGAGCAAAGUUAUUUGUAAGCAUAUUUAGCACAUUUGACUUAAUAUCACAAACAAAUAAAUAACCCAGGCCACAAACUCAUCCCCUUGAACAUUCUGGGUGUCCUCAAAGAGGUGGUCCUCAAUGCCUCCUACACCAGGUCCUAACCUGACUCUGCAACUCUGAAUACUUGAAGUAAAAAGUAGGAAAUCCACUAGGGAGGGAAUGUAGAGUCCUCAAAACAGAAAAAGCAACCAAUCAUGUAUAGAUAGGUAUUUAUAAGUAUGUGCCAAUUUUGUUACAGCUAUUAGUUGGGGGGGAAUCUUUCCCCAAUUUUGUUGGUUUAAACUAUUAUUAAUUUUACCUUUAUGGGGACAUAUUCUUUAGUUCCUUUAAAAACAAAUUCUGCCUCCUGUCUUUCCCAUUUUUUUGUAAAAAAGGAAAAAAUGAUGUUGGGUAUGAUCCCAACACCAUUUCUCUGAUGUUGGGGUAUGAUCCCCUGAAUCCCUUUUAACAUAUUAAAAUAGUCUCUGGGUUUACAACAAACACUGUGAUGUUGGGAAGAUAUUUCCUCUGCGCAAAUGUUAGCAGGUUCCCCUCGAAUCAGAAAGAAAUUGAAGAUAAAAAGUUGAGGCUAACAUUUAAGAGAAGUUGGUCUUCUUGCUUUGUGCAAAAGCAGGCUGUACUUUAUACACCAUUUUAUUUGUAUGUAUAGUCUCGAUUUUGUAUUUAAUGAUUUUUGUGUAUUCAGUGUGCACGUUAACAGCGUGUCAACUUUCUCUUGGAAGUGGGUUUCACUUUACUUUUUAAACAGUGUUUAUGAUGCGACCUCAAAUGUGUUGACAUAAGCUCUAUCUGAGAUGUUUUUGUGUAGAGUGGCAUUUGAAUUCUGCCAGGGGUCAGUGUAUCUAAUUCCCCAAGACCCUAGUUUGAUAGUGCUUCUUGUAAUAUUUCUUUCAGUGAGUGGCAUGUGGGUUGUGAUAUUGACCGUGUGAUUAUGGACUUCGAUAUGAAAAAAAUUUUCAAUUAAGGAACCCUCAGAAACUACUAGUGGGCAUGUAUUAGCCAGUCAUUGUAACCUUGUGUCUAGUAGAAGUACAAUGUACAAGGUAUGUACAGUUCAUAAAUUUGUUCUCAUGUGUAUGAGAAGUACUUUGUGCUGAUCGCCUUAUUUAUAUUCAUCAAAUAAACUUUGUUUCUUUCUGAUGUGA